rnacentral:pre_miRNA from 1 species
ACCAUCUAGGGACCUUGUUAAAAUGCAGGCUCUGAUUCAGGUCUCAGUUAGAGCCUGGUUAGAGACUAAGAGUCUAUAUUUUUAACAAGCUUCCAGGUGUUGCUAA